UGGAAGGGGUGUAUUUAUUAGAUUAAACUCCAAUGCCCUUCGGGGCUCUCUGGUGAUUCAUAAUAACUUCUCGAAUCGCACGGCCUUGCGCCGGCGAUGGUUCAUUCAAAUUUCUGCCCUAUCAACUUUCGACGGCUGGGUCUUGGCCAGCCAUGGUGACAACGGGUAACGGAGGGUUAGGGCUCGACCCCGGAGAAGGAGCCUGAGAAACAGCUACUACAUCCAAGGAAGGCAGCAGGCGCGCAAAUUACCCAAUCCCGACACGGGGAGGUAGUGACAAUAAAUACUGAUACAGGGCUCUUUCGGGUCUUGUAAUUGGAAUGAGUACAAUUUAAAUCCCUUAACGAGGAACAAUUGCAGGGCAAGUCUGGUGCCAGCAGCCGCGGUAAUUCCAGCUCCAAUAGCGUAUAUUAAAGUUGUUGAGGUUAAAAAGCUCGUAGUUGAACCUUGUGUCUAGCCGGCCGGUCCGCCUCACCGCGUGCACUGGCUCGGCUGGGUCUUUCCUUCUGGAGAACCGCAUGCCCUUCACUGGGUGUGCCGGGGAACCAGGACUUUUAC
rnacentral:rRNA from 1 species